rnacentral:rRNA from 1 species
GAAGUUCAGGUAACACUGAAUGGAGGACCGAACCGACUUACGUUGAAAAGUGAGCGGAUGAACUGAGGGUAGCGGAGAAAUUCCAAUCGAACCUGGAGAUAGCUGGUUCUCUCCGAAAUAGCUUUAGGGCUAGCCUCAAGUGAUGAUUAUUGGAGGUAGAGCACUGUUUGGACGAGGGGCCCCUCUCGGGUUACCGAAUUCAGACAAACUCCGAAUGCCAAUUAAUUUAACUUGGGAGUCAGAACAUGGGUGAUAAGGUCCGUGUUCGAAAGGGAAACAGCCCAGACCACCAGCUAAGGUCCCAAAAUAUAUGUUAAGUGGAAAAGGAUGUGGCGUUGCCCAGACAACUAGGAUGUUGGCUUAGAAGCAGCCAUCAUUUAAAGAGUGCGUAAUAGCUCACUAGUCGAGUGACACUGCGCCGAAAAUGUACCGGGGCUAAACAUAUUACCGAAGCUGUGGAUUGUCCUUUGGACAAUGGUAGGAGAGCGUUCUAAGGGCGUUGAAGCAU